rnacentral:rRNA from 1 species
AUGGAUAGCAAUCGUGCACCAGGCCCGGAUAACAUACCAGCAGAAUUCUAUAGAUUCUGUUGGGAGAUUGUUAAACAGGACAUCAUGAACUUAUUCGUGGCCUUCCAUGAGGGUACCUUGGAUGUAGAGAGGCUUAACUACGGUAUAAUUACUCUUAUUCCCAAAAUUAGUGGGAAAAAAAUCCAAGAGUUCCGCCCCAUCUGCCUUCUCCGUUGCCCAUACAAGCUUAUCACCAAAGUCUUGGACAACAGGGUGGCAGUGUUUGCUGAUAAGCUUAUCAGCCGCCAUCAAAAUGCUUUUAUCAAAAAACGUAAUAUUAUGGAUGGAAUUCUGACUUUGCAUGAGGUCCUCCACCAUACGCAUGUUAAAAAAAAGUGCGGGGUUGUGCUUAAACUCGAUUUCGAGAAAGCAUACGACAAACUCAAUUGGGACUUCCUUCUUGAAUGCCACAAGCUUAGGGGCUUCGGAGACAAGUGGUGUACAUGGGUUGAUCAAGUUUUGCGGAAUGGGACCGUGAGUGUUAAAAUUAACAACACGGUAGGGCCGUAUUUCCAAAGUUUUAAAGGGGUUCGUCAGGGAGACCCUAUGUCUGCAAACAUAACUUGUGAUUCAUUCAGAGGUUGUGCUUCGUCCCAUACGAUUUGA